GAUGAACGCUGGCGGUCUGCUUAACACAUGCAAGUCGAACGGGCUCUUUCGGGAGCUAGUGGCGGACGGGUGAGUAACGCGUGAGAAUCUGCCCUUUGGAGGGGGAUAACGGUUGGAAACGACCGCUAAUACCCCAUGUGCCGAGAGGUAAAAAGUAAAUCGCCAAGGGAUGAGCUCGCGUCGGAUUAGCUAGUUGGUGGGGUAAGAGCCCACCAAGGCGACGAUCCGUAGCUGGUCUGAGAGGAUGACCAGCCACACUGGGACUGAGACACGGCCCAGACUCCUACGGGAGGCAGCAGUGGGGAAUUUUCCGCAAUGGGCGCAAGCCUGACGGAGCAAGACCGCGUGAGGGAAGACGGUCUGUGGAUUGUAAACCUCUUUUGACAGGGAAGAAGUACUGACGGUACCUGUCGAAUCAGCCUCGGCUAACUCCGUG
rnacentral:rRNA from 1 species